UGAUAUACAUAACAGUUGUCAUGAUUGC
rnacentral:piRNA from 1 species